UACGUAGGGCGCAAGCGUUGUCCUGAAUUAUUGGGCGUAAAGAGCUCGUAGGCGGUUUGUCGCGUCUGUCGUGAAAGCUUGGGGCUUAACCCCAAGUCUGCGGUGGAUACGGGCAGACUAGAGGCAGGUAGGGGAGAACGGAAUUCCCGGUGUAGCGGUGAAAUGCGCAGAUAUCGGGAGGAACACCGGUGGCGAAGGCGGUUCUCUGGGCCUGUACUGACGCUGAGGAGCGAAAGCGUGGGGAGCGAACAGG
rnacentral:rRNA from 1 species